rnacentral:tRNA from 1 species
AGUCUUAUAUUCAAGUAAUGAUAUUGGAAUGCAAUUCUGAAGGUGUAAAUAUAUUAUUAAGGCUU